rnacentral:rRNA from 1 species
UACAUGGGGUGCAAGCGUUGUCCGGAAUUAUUGGGCGUAAAGCGCGCGCAGGCGGUCCUUUAAGUCUGAUGUGAAAGCCCACGGCUCAACCGUGGAGGGUCAUUGGAAACUGGGGGACUUGAGUGCAGGAGAGAAGAGUGGAAUUCCACGUGUAGCGGUGAAAUGCGUAGAGAUCGUAAGGAAGACCAGUGGCGAAGGCGGGUCUCUGGACAGUUCCUGACACUGAGGCACGAAGGCCAGGGGAGCAAACGGG